ACAUUCCCUGGAAAAAUGGGUGGGUAGACUCCGGACUCAGGCACAGGACUCACCACCCAGGCUGCCGACUCUCCCUGCCCACCACCUCCCUGUGUCUGGUGCUCAUCACUGUCAGUGUUCUUAGCCCCUGGGGUUGUCCCUUUAUAAAUCGGCUUCCCCCGCAGGCUUGGGAGCUCUCCAAGGACAGGGACUGCAUCUAACCUGUGUCUCUGUGUCUCCACGCCUGGGCUGGGGCCUGACACACAGUAGGUGCCGAAUGAGGGUUUGCUGAGUACUCAGUCUUAAAGGCAUUACUCGAGGGUUGAUACGUGACCCAAGGGUUUAUUGGAGGAAGUUUCUUCCACAGUCUGACAGUAAACACUCCCUCUGACCCCUCUGGAAUGCUCUUGGCACUUGUUUCCAAGUCAGGCCCUGAAAAAUGAACCCUGUGUGUUAAUUACAGAGCGAAACAAUGCAUUCUGGACUCCACCUCGGGGCGGCCAUGUGGUCGGCCAGCUGAUGCAGAGACUGUCCCCAGGGAAGGGACCUCCAGUCCCUCCAGGCCUGGGCGAUAGUUCCUGGCAUCCAGGUCCUCCAGGGGCCAACCACAGAAACCAGGGACCCACUUGGCAUAUCAACAGGAAGAGUUGUUAUUGCCAUGCUUGUGGGCAUGCGCCCGUAUGCACACCCACACCCCCCCAAAAAGAACAAAAGCAAAACCAAAAUGAGAUGAAAGAGGCAAUGAGAAAAGGUUGGGGGGGGGGGCAAAGAAAGGGACAAACAAAUGUGUUUGUGGGCCAUAUAAAGCCCGUGAGUUCCCAAUUCCCGAAGCUCUUCCCCAUUUUACAGAUGAGUACGCUGAGAGGCAACAGCGUGCCCAAAGUCACCAGGAGUUAGUGCGUGGUCCGGGAUGAAGUUUCUGAUUUUCUGGCCCAGAUUCUCCCCUCUGUUUUGUCCUUGAGGCCGAGGGUCUGCAGGCUCCAGGGGCAGGACCUCUCAGGAGAGGAACAAGGGCCACCUGCCUCCCCGGCAACCCCCACCCCCACCUUUCCCCAGGAACCCUUUGUGACAGGGGGUGCCCAGUACUCGUGCAUCAGGUAGCUGAUGCUGUCACCCCAGGAGGGGGCCAGAGAUGAGGGACUGGGGCUAUCACGUGAAUACUGGGAUCCGGGUAGACAGAGGCUUCUCUGAAAUUGGAUGUUCAUGGGGAAGGAGGACCGAGGUCAGCUUUAGAGCUAUAGACCAAUCUGGGUUGGAAUGCGAGCUCUUUUCCUUCUAAGGCAGAAGCUGAAAUAGAAAAAAAAAAUUUAAGGCGAACACAACGUUGCCGCUCUAAGUGGAGAAGCCGUCUUGCUGGUCAUGAACUGAAGUCACUGACAAAGAGAGACAGAGCAUGAGCAGGGGAGGAGCAGAGAGAGAGAGGAAGACACAGAAUCGGAAGCAGCUCCAGGCUCCAAGCUGUCAGCACAGAGCCCGACGCGGGGCAUGAACUCCUGAACCGCGAGAUCAAGACCUGAGCCAAAGUCGGCCACUCGACCGACUGAGCCCCCCCAGGCGCCUCGACUCUGCCUUGAUCUUGGACUUGCAGCCUGCACGGCUGUGAGAAUAAACGUGGUUUAAGCCACCUGGUCUGUGCUAUUUUGUCGCAGCAGCCUGAGCGGACUGAGGCAGGGAGCACGAGGCCCGUGGCUGGGUGUCGAGAGACUUCAUUUCUGCCCCUCUUCUGCUAGUGUGACUCUUGGCCGGGGUUGCCCUUCUCUGGGACUCAGUUUCCCCAUCUGUAAAGGCAGGACCAUUAACUCUACAGAUAACAGGUGAUGCUAGAGAAAGUCACCUCUCCAACGUCUGUGCAGCCGGGGGUCAGCAUUUGGGUUUUCUUCUCGGGGCCGCGGGGAGGACGAAGGAACGUUCUGG